UGUUCUUCCUCUAGAUUGUGCUAGGUCUCUGCAGCAGGGUAUUUGGGGCCAGCUAGGUCUUGGUCUGCAGGCUGGAGGUGAGAAGUCCUGCCACCACACAGCGCUGCCAGCGUGUUCCCAUUCUGAGUCAUUCCUUUGCCUGUUUAUUUUCGGUAUUUGUUUAUUUACCAGUGAGGUGUCAGCCCAGAGCAGGUUGGCUGUGCUGAACUCCUCUGGUGGCCCAAUGGCUGCUGCCAGCUCUCUCCAAGUCCUGCUGUGUUGGGAUUGCUUCCACCCCGAGCCCAGGGAGAGAGAGGUUGGGUUGCUGUGAGAGGAAUGCCAGCACAGUCUCCCACCAGAAGCGUGCUCAGCUCCAGGUAACGAGCGUGGUACCACAGGGUAAACUUCUUCCACUCUCCCCAUGGAGCCCCUGGCUCCCAGCUCUCUCUCUGAGCCAACUGUGGGGGGUGGAGGGAGGUUAAGAGGCAUAUCCUUUGCUGUAAUUAUAUCCUGUUGCUAGAGAUAUUGUGUUCUGUAUAAAGAAAUCAUCAUAAUACAGCCUCCUGGAGAAGGUAAUUACUGUGCAUCUUAUGAAUGGCUGCAUAUGAAUGUCUGCUCAAGCUGCUGUCAGCAGCAAGUUUCAACACAUCUUACAUACCAGGCAUUUCACAGCCUUAGUUUUAUUUGUUUUCAUCACCCCUUGCCUUAUGCUUUAUAUUUCAUUAAUGGAGCUGUUUUUUUUUUUUUGUUUGGGUUGUUUAUUUGUUUAUUAUUAAAAAAAAGAAAGAAAGAAAAAGGCCAAAGUUCAUGUCUUUGAUGGAGCUUUGGGUGGUGGUGGCAGCAGCUUUUGUUUGCUGCAUUUCCAUUGCUCUGUGGUGGCUUGAGAGGAGCUCUGGAAGAUGCUGCUUCCCAGCAGUUCCCAUAUAGCAACGUACGGGUGGGUCCUUGUUUCCUAGUCUGAGCCCCCAUAAAAUGGACCGUACCACUGCUGACAAAAGUUGGUGUCACUCUAUCACUGGCAUAACCACACAGAUUUAACACUGUGAGGACAUUUAUUUUCUUGUUCUAAUCUGCCGUUUUCCCCCUUGUAUUGAAAAUGAGUUGGCACCUACUCACAAACAGAGAUGUCAGACCUUUCAGGUUUCUGAAGCUUCUCUAAAGCUCCCUCUGCCCUCAGCCUGCCUGCCACUGGCACCAGUGACCCCCAGCUUGGUUAGGCAAUCAGUAUGGAUAUGGUUUUACAACUUGGUAAUGCUGUCUGUGAAGAUGGGCAGAUACAUGAGCCAUAUCCAUUAACUUCUGCAGGAAUGUUUGAGUUAGAUAGGGGGAACACCAAUGGAGAGCUGGUUUGUCAUGAUAGGAGUCACCAGGCUGCUGUUCUUUUCCCUAAGGUCACUAAUAUUUACCUUUCCCCAGCAGUGUGGAAGGUAAUCUGUCUUUGUGUUGCGCAUAUGGAGCCGCAGGGUGUAAUCACAGCACCCUGCAUGGCUAUGAAAACAUCGUGUCCACCUCCUGGCCGGCUUAAGCAAAGAUUUGAAACUGCUGCUUGGAUUGCUUCCUUGUGCAAAUGGCUGGGGCUUCCUCUUGCAAUGCUGAAGCUGAGUUGUUUCGGUACUCUCAAAGACUUGUUGUGCUUGUGGACAGGCUUCUGUGUGCACUGAGCAUUGCAUCCAGAGGUGGCUCCUUCCCAGUGCCAUGCAGAGCAUUGAAUCUGUCUCUCUCCGUGAUUCCUGGUGAAGCCUGAAAGGCAGCCCGGCUCCUGCAGGACGGAAGCAUGGCUGUCUGCUGAACUCCCCAUAUCUACAGAUGGAAGAGCUAUUGAGUGGUUAUAGCUGAAAGCCUUGCCUAUCUAAGGAAAUGUCAGCAACAUAUUGAAGUAGGAGAAGGAACAAGGCCUACAGGUCCCCCGGAAUUGUGUGAAGGAAGGACUACUGCUCCAUUGGAACCUGUGGUCUAUGUAUGUCCCCAGCAAGACCUUCACAGAACAUCAGGCAAGGGAUUGUACUGGAAGUUUCAGCAGUGUCUGCCAGUUAUAAGUCAAUGGGUGCCCUGAAGGAAAGAUUUGGUCUUCUUUGCCUGAGCUUGCCCUGCAAAAGGCUAUCGGUACAGCUCACCUGUUCAUGAAGUACCAGAUAGACCCAUCGGAAUCAGAGCAAUCUCUAGUUCCUGAGCUCUGCUUCAGUUUUGCUGGUGAAGCUCAAGUCUGAGGCUGUGCUCUGACCAAUCUCUCCUUCCUUUACUGUAAAGACACGGUGAAAUGGUAAUCCCUUUCUGAAGGAGGAAACAGGAUGUUCCUCUCCCUUGGCCUGGCAGCACUGGCCAGCUGUGCACAGCUGCACACCAGCCCAGAAGCAGAAAGUUCAAGUUCACCCUUCCUAAGCAAGGAUCUAUGCCUUGGGCUCAAGCCAAGCUGGCAACCACCAACAGAGAGAAGCAGCACAAAGCAUAGCAGACCCUGCAUAUAGGACCCACGUUUGCACCAUUGCCAUUGCUCCACCACUGAGCUAGAGAGGCUUUCAUGCACACAAAACUUAAGGACUGUAUUUUGGGCAUGUCUUUGGAAAGGCUUCUAAUCGUUGAAAAGUUCUUCACUUAAAUUCAUCAUCAUCAUCAUCACCGAAUGAGUGACAGGGAUUUAAACCUUAAUAUUGUGUGGUGAUGUGCUGACUGGGAUCUGCAACCUGCUCCCUGUGUCCACAUGGGGUAUGAGGAAUGCCAAGCAGUGCCCACUGUGGUUGCAUACGUCUGUCUGGGCAGAAGAGGGGUGUGUAAAGAAGAUGGUCUGAACUUCAGGAUUGCCCACCUGCUCCUGGGGGUUUGUCUGGAGGACUCAGAUCCUUCCUCCCACUCACCUGUGCAGUAACUGGGUUCUCUUGGUGAAGAUCCACUCCCUUUUUCACAACAGGAUGUAUGAACAGUUUGCAAAAUUUGGAGAAGAAAAAUGGCUGCAGCUCCCUUCAUUGAACUAACUAGUGGGAGGAAGGAAAGAAAAGCCCUGCAGUUAAUUGAAUUAACGAAUUGAAAAGGAAAAUCUCCAGGACACCCCUUGUGACUGGGGUUAGAAAGGCUGUGAUUUUUCCACCCAGCACUGGACAGGCUCCAGGCAAGCUCCAGGAUGAAUUCUUAAUCUGGGAUAGGAACUUUGUUGUCCUGGCUUUAAAUGGUUUAUCAGGAACACAUUCCACAACAAACUACAUCCAGAAAUUCUGGUCUUUUUUAAAGUCAUAAGCAGAACUCGGUGAAUUUUGCUUGGCAGGACCCAGAGAUGGAAAAGAAAGGGCAGAUCAGCAGAAGCAGGCUCAAUUCUCAAAGCACUGUGUUUUUCCACAGAAGAGAGGAGAGAGCAGAACUGUUGGUAGUCAUUUUUCCCUACUUCUCCAACAGAGCCAGCGGUACUGAGGAGCUGCAGCCCUGAUUAUUACUUGCAAGCAUUUAUUAAUGUGUGUAUUCAUAUAAUGAAGUAGAAUCUCUAUACCAGGUUGUAGCCCUUCCCAUUAAGCUUCUUGACUGUGCCUAUUUCUCUUGCAUUGACUCCUUCACGUAGUCCAUCAAUUCUUACAUCUGUGCUAGAGAGCAAAGUUACUCAAAGUUCGGCUACUGCUCGAUUUACCGUGCUUUAUCUGUUCUGCAGUACCCAGCUGUAUUCGUGCUCUCAGCCAGCAGCCCUUCAAGGGCAGCCUGUGCCAUGUUCAGCAGAGGGCUCAGCUGCCUGCCCUGGUCCCGGGACAACAGCCUUCCAAUGGGAACUUACCUUAAUGACACUCGAUUUACAGUGAGCCCAAAGCAGCAAAGGACUCUUUGAAAAUCUCUAGAGUGGACACUCCCAGAGCUGUCUGUAUACACUUCGAAUUAAUUAUUCCCUUCAUGGAAAUUGUACAAGAUGUCCCCUUGCUUCUUUCUGACUGCCUUCCUGCCCUUUUCUGAUAAUCCCUCUCUAUCCUCUGGGCUCUCUCUGGUCCUAAACUUAACAUAUAAAGCUAUUUUUAUCUAGGGGUUAGGGUGUGAAUAAAUUCAGAGAAUGUCUCUCAACAUGA